rnacentral:rRNA from 1 species
GUAGGUGGCAAGCGUUGUCCGGAAUUAUUGGGCGUAAAGCGCGCGCAGGCGGUUCUUUAAGUCUGAUGUGAAAGCCCACGGCUCAACCGUGGAGGGUCAUUGGAAACUGGAGAACUUGAGUACAGAAGAGGAAAGCGGAAUUCCACGUGUAGCGGUGAAAUGCGUAGAGAUGUGGAGGAACACCAGUGGCGAAGGCGGCUUUCUGGUCUGUAACUGACGCUGAGGCGCGAAAGCGUGGGGAGCAAACAGGGAUUAGAUACCCUGGUAGUCCACGCCGUAAACGAUGAGUGCUAAGUGUUAGGGGGUAUCCGCCCCCUUAGUGCUGCAGCUAACGCAUUAAGCACUCCGCCUGGGGAGUACGGCCGCAAGGCUG